rnacentral:rRNA from 1 species
UACGUAGGGUGCAAGCGUUGUCCGGAAUUAUUGGGCGUAAAGAGCUCGUAGGCGGUUCGUCACGUCGGCUGUGAAAACCUGGGGCUCAACUCCGGGCCUGCAGCCGAUACGGGCGAACUAGAAUUCGGUAGGGGAGACUGGAAUUCCUGGUGUAGCGGUGAAAUGCGCAGAUAUCAGGAGGAACACCGAUGGCGAAGGCAGGUCUCUGGGCCACUACUGACGCUGAGAAGCGAAAGCAUGGGGAGCGAACAGG